CAUCGGCCAGCAGGCCCUCCCUUUCCGGUGACCAGUGGCGGCCGGUGAUGCAGCCCACGCGAUACAUCCCACUACUCGCCUCCUAUUAUGAGGUACCCUAAAUCUGAGAAAUUCUUUUGCAGCUAAGAUGUAUUUGGGCUACUACGUGAUGCAGAUGUUUGUCGAAAAGCCGCGGCGGCGAGUCAGAGCACGGCGGCGCGGAAGCGGAAGGGCACGAAAUUCCGUGUAUCCUUACUAGUGCGAUGUCACUGGAGGCUGAUGCAGCAGCGCAGGCGGCACGAUCUGGCGUAUCAAGAAGCCUGAAAUAGAGCUGCGUUAGUAGUAGCAACCUGCAGCAGGACGACCUGCAGAAGAUAAAAACGCAAAUGGGUGCUGAAGCACUUGCAUCUGUUCCAAGGGUACUCGAGAAGAUCUGUCAAAUUGGAUCGCAAACAUGUCUUAUGCUGAACUAUUUUUGGCAUUCCACCAAGGUUCCAUACAUCAGAAGACUUGCUCUGUCGGAUAUCAGAAUUUGUCUACAAAUUAGUAGAACCGAUGUAUAUAGGUCUAGGUAGACUAUCAAAUUGUGCUGCAAAAUUGUAAACUUUCUCCUUUUCAGAUAAUUUUCAUGUAUG